UUUCCCUUCCACAGAGAAGACAGUAGACGGAUCCCCCCUUUAGAAAACCCUAGCCGCCUCCUAGAUCCCCUCUCUAAUCUCACCCUCCUCUACUCAUCUUCUCACACACGGAUAUUCACACACUAGGAGAGAUAAAUUUUGGAAUUAAAAAAUCAAAAAAUUCAAAAAGAGUUCCAAAAACCAAAACAAAAACAGAAACAAAAGAGGGAUUUCAAGACUAUUUUCUAAUUCUGCUUCGUUACUUCAUAAUUUCCGGGAUUCCGAGUGCUAUUUGAGCUAUGGAACUGCUAUCCACUGUUGUUUUGUUGUUCAUGUUCUGUUGAUUCGCCUAUUCUGCUUUUAUUUAGCUAUUCGGAAAUCUACACAUUGUUGUUGAGGUAUGAACUUGAUUCAGAUCAUGUAAUUAUUGAUUGGGUGCUAUAAUACCAUGAAUUUGCAGUAAUUUUCUCUAUUUCAUGUGUUCGAAAUGUAUUCCAAUAUCACCUGCCAACUUGAUUUAAUUAUGAAUUGCUUUGAUGCAUGAAAUUAGUAUAGAUCCAUGUAGAAAAGGGGUAUUUUUGCAUAAGUAUUCCUAUUGUAAUUAAUUUGUGCGCAAGAUGAACAUGACUGUAAUUUAUAAAAUAUUUAUGUGCGUAGCCAUGAACUGAUGAAUGGAUUUCUUUUACUAUUUUUGAUCUAUUGCAUUCUAGUGUUAAUUUGGACGAGUGUUAUCACGUUAAUUAUAGCCACGUGGAAAGAUUUGACGCAACAAGGUUUUGCUUUGCUCAUGUCCUUACUCUGUGGGGCUUAAGGAUAAAUCGGCUCAUCCAAUUCGACCAAGGUUCAAAUCGAGCCCAAUGAGUGGAGUUAACUGCUAUAAAAGAGCAACUGUAGCAUUUUAUUACACCCGUCUUCUACUGUAAAUGUCUGUUUUGAUCAAGAUAGAGUAAUGUUUUAUUUUACUCGAAUGUUUAGCCAACCUGGAUUCUCUUUGAAUUAACUGAAGUAACGAGGAG
rnacentral:lncRNA from 1 species